AGCGAAGGCGAAGCGUGUCUUCCGAAGUAUUUAUCUUCAGUUCCUGACUGCAGAGAUAAAUCGAGGAGUUGUUUCUCAGCUAAGAAUGACUAGUGCGGCCUUGAAUGGUGGUACACACCUGUGAUCCCAACAUCCAGGAGGCUAAAGCUAGAAGAAUUAUGAUACCAAAGAUGGCCUGGGCUAUAGAACAGCUCCAUACUCCCCAAGACCAAGCCCUGUACAGAUGCAUUUGUGUGGCAGAACCCGAAACUCAGGGAGGCUGGAAGGUCCUUUUUAUUUCUACAGUGAAUGGCAGCCAAAAGGGCCAAGCAUGCAGGUGCCAAAGAGCAUCAACCCUCCAGGAGCCACGACCUAGAAAAGGAAUGCACUGGCCAGGAACAGAGCAAGCAAGCAUCGCUGUUAGGAGUCACACAGUGGUCGUGAGGUGUAGACUCCAAAGCUAGUUCAUGCGUGUGCCCAUCAAGACAUGCAGCUGAGGCAGUGUACCACCGGACGUCCCCAGAUCCACAAGCACCCCACAAGUCAAACAGCUGGAGCAAAAGGACAAGCCUCUAAAGCCAGAAGCCUCUUCCUUCAAGAUGUCCCUCUUGUGCCCUCUAGUGACAAGAUUUGGCAUUGUGCUUACCGCAGAGAGAAAGUUGCUUUCUACUACGGUCUACUGCAGCAGAGGAAGGAGAUGAGGUUGAUCCAGUACAAUAAAAUAAGCACGUG
rnacentral:lncRNA from 1 species